AUUGAACGCUGGCGGCAUGCUUUACACAUGCAAGUCGAACGGCAGCGCGGGCUUCGGCCUGGCGGCGAGUGGCGAACGGGUGAGUAAUGCAUCGGAACGUGCCCAGCAGUGGGGGAUAGCCCGGCGAAAGCCGGAUUAAUACUGCAUACGACCUGAGGGUGAAAGCGGGGGACCGAAAGGCCUCGUGCUAUUGGAGCGGCCGAUGUCGGAUUAGCUAGUUGGUGGGGUAAAGGCUUACCAAGGCGACGAUCCGUAGCUGGUCUGAGAGGACGACCAGCCACACUGGGACUGGGACACGGCCCAGACUCCUACGGGAGGCAGCAGUGGGGAAUUUUGGACAAUGGGGGCAACCCUGAUCCAGCCAUGCCGCGUGCGGGAAGAAGGCCUUCGGGUUGUAAACCGCUUUUGUUCGGGAAGAAAUCCUCUGGGCUAAUACCCCGGGGGGAUGACGGUACCGGAAGAAUAAGCACCGGCUAACUACGUG
rnacentral:rRNA from 1 species